rnacentral:rRNA from 1 species
GUGGGGAAUAUUGCACAAUGGGCGCAAGCCUGAUGCAGCAACGCCGCGUGAGGGAUGACGGCCUUCGGGUUGUAAACCUCUUUUAGUAGGGAAGAAGCGAAAGUGACGGUACCUGCAGAAAAAGCACCGGCUAACUACGUGCCAGCAGCCGCGGUAAUACGUAGGGUGCAAGCGUUGUCCGGAAUUAUUGGGCGUAAAGAGCUCGUAGGCGGCUUGUCGCGUCUGCUGUGAAAUCCCGGGGCUCAACCCCGAGCCUGCAGUGGGUACGGGCAGGCUAGAGUGCGGUAGGGGAGAUUGGAAUUCCUGGUGUAGCGGUGGAAUGCGCAGAUAUCAGGAGGAACACCGAUGGCGAAGGCAGAUCUCUGGGCCUGCACUGACGCUCAUGCACGAAAGCGUGGGGAGCAAACAGGAUUAGAAACCCGGGUAGUCC